rnacentral:rRNA from 1 species
AUUCCAGCUCCAAUAGCGUAUAUUAAAGUUGUUGCAGUUAAAAAGCUCGUAGUUGGAUUUCUGGCAGGAGCGACCGGUCACACACUCUGUGUGUGAACUUGCGUUGUCUCUGGCCAUCCUCGGGGAGAUCCUGUUUGGCAUUAAGUUGUCGGGCAGGGGAUACCCGUCGUUUACUGUGAAAAAAUUAGAGUGUUUAAAGCAGGCUUAUGCCGUUGAAUAUAUUAGCAUGGAAUAAUAAGAUAGGACUUCGGAACUAUUUUGUUGGUUUGCGUUACGAAGUAAUGAUUAAUAGGGACAGUUGGGGGUGUUCGUAUUUCGUUGUCAGAGGUGAAAUUCUUGGAUUUCCGAAAGACGAACUACUGCGAAAGCAUUUACCAAGGAUGUUUUCAUCA